rnacentral:rRNA from 1 species
CCUACGGGAGGCAGCAGUGAGGAAUAUUGGUCAAUGGAGGCAACUCUGAACCAGCCAUGCCGCGUGCAGGAUGACUGCCCUAUGGGUUGUAAACUGCUUUUAUACAGGAAGAAACUUAGCUACGUGUAGUUAACUGACGGUACUGUAAGAAUAAGGACCGGCUAACUCCGUGCCAGCAGCCGCGGUAAU